CCCUUAGAUGUUCUGGGCUGCACACGUGCUACACUGGCAGGUUCAGCGAGCUUCAUGCCCUGAUCUGAAAGGAAUGGGAAAUCUUUUCAAAACCUGCCGUGCUUGGGAUAGAUGUUUGCAAUUAUUCAUCUUCAACGAGGAUUGCCUUGUAAGCGCACGUCAUCAGCGUGCAUUGAAUACGACCCUGUAUUCUGUACACACCGCCCGUCGCUCCUACCGAUUGAAGUUUUCGGUGAGUUGACAGGAGGAUUUUUUUGAAACUGGUUCGCCAGUGGAUUUUAGAUCCAAAUACCAACGAGGCGAUGGCUUUAGAGGAAGGAGAAGUCGUAACA
rnacentral:rRNA from 1 species